rfam:Bacterium endosymbiont of Pedicinus badii strain PRTG Contig_95, whole genome shotgun sequence.
GCCGAUAUAGCUCAGAAAGGAAGAGCAAUGCAUUCGUAAUGCAAUGGUCAUAGGUUCAAAUCCUAUUAUCGGCA